CUUUAAGAGACACGUGAAUCCACACUGGAGAGAAACUGCACAUCUGUGAUCAGUGCGGAAAAACAUUUUUAAGAGCUUCACACCUGAAGGGUCACCUGAAAGUUUCAUUCAAAGGAGAAACCACAUUCAUGUUCUUUCUGUGGAAAUAGUUUUUCACAUCUGCAUACUUUAAAAGUUCAUCAGAAGAUACACACUGGUGUGAGAGAAUAUAUGUGCUUUAAGUGUGAGAAGACUUUUAUUACAGCUGAAGAUUUGAAACGUCACCAGAGGAUCCACACUGGAGAGAAACCUUACAAGUGUUCACUCUGUGAUAUGAGAUUCAGUCGGUCAGAAACCCUGAGAACACAUGAGAGGAUUCACACUGGAGAGAAACCGUAUCACUGCUCUGCAUGUGGGAAGAGUUUCACUCAGUUGUUUUCUCUACGAAGUCAUAAAAUAAACAAUCACAAUAAGUAGUUAAUCUUCAGGGGUGUAUUCCAGAAAGGACGUUCAACAAACUCUGUGUUGUCUUUCCCUGAGAUGGGAACUCUUGAGUGUUCGGUUUCAGAACAGCUAAAUUGUGUUAGUUCAGUCGACUCUGAGCAGGUUGACUCUGAGUUUAGCGCGUGCACCACGACUAUGAGAAGUCAUGAUCAAUAGAGCUCCGUAAUUAUGAUUCACCAUGGCAACAGCACCGACAAAAAGACAUCUGCAGACUUCUGAGUCAGCUACAUGACGCUCUUCAUUCCUCGCUGGAAAAGGUGUCAAAGAGAAGACGCAGAACUCGAGGUGGAUUUUUAGUCAACCUAAAGGCAAGUCUAUCCUCGCAGCUGCCGAUGCAAUGUUUUUCCCUGAUUGGCAUCACAAAGGGAAAGGACUGUUCUAUCGUCUUGCGCUCUAUGGAGAUGCCAUAUCAGUGGAUUAUUCCCGGCACCUGCAGUGAACUCCCGCUGUGGCGUCUCCCGUAACUUUGCUCAUGGGUAAUAAACUUAUUCCCCUUGGGAAAUGUACUUGCAUAGUCUUUGUUCCCUGCAUCACGGAUCGGGUGAGCUGGAAGUUUCCACAGAGUUAAAAUUUGCUCUGACUAAUGUGCGGUCACCUGCAAGCAAAACUUUUAUCUUAAAGGAUUUCUUUGAUUCUCAGAAUUUGGACAUUUUAUUUUUAACAGAGACCUGGUUACAUACAAUACUAGUGAUCUAAGUUCACUUUCUGAGUCGCUACCGUCUAACAGUGUUUUUUUUUUAAUUCCCCGCGGGCCUCUGGUGGCAGAGGUGGUGUGGCAACUAUUUUUAAAAUGAGCUUGAAUUGUCGGACUCUGCACGUCACAAAUUAUGCUAGUUUUGAGUUGUUUCAGUUGAACUCUUCAAUACUCUGUGCUGUGGUCUAUCGUCCUCCAAAAUUCAACAAGCCGAAUAAGGGAUUUUACAGACAUUUUGGGCGAUAUAUGUUUAAAAUAUGAUAAACUUUUAGUAGUGGGGGACUUCAUUCAUUCAAAGUUCAUUUAUUUCAGUAAUUCAACUCAAUUGACACGUCUGUGUGUGUUAUGUAUGUAUUAUUUAUUAGUUAUUUUAAGAAGGCUUUGACUUCAAAACAUACUGUAAUGCCACCAUAUGAGGAUUAAGUUAAUAAAAUUGGUAUAUUAUUCUCUCUAUUCUGCAUUUCACCUCUGUUAUAAUUUGUUUAUUUCUAAUAAACCUGACACUGUAUAUUAAAUAUUGUGGUGACCCCAAGUAAGCAGGUGACGUUCAGCACCAUGGAAAGCACCAUCAGUGCCACCCUGUGAUGUUCAGGACCAGGGAUAGCUCCUCCAACACAGGUGUGCACAGUUUCUCCUCUGACAGGGAGCCUCAGCUGCAUCUCGUUUAACUCUGCGUUGAGGACACUUGGUAUACAGCAACCUACAAAGGGCUCCAACAUAAUGAGAAAGCUAGACACAGAUGAUAAAAAAGUACUGAGCACUGUGAAUGUUAGAGACUCAUGUUUUAUUUAUAACAAUCGUUGAUGUUUGAAUUGUAUUUCAGGGCACUUUGUGAAGACGGAUAAACAAGAAAUGUUGUAACAACCUGGACAGAAGUGUGAAUUGACCAUAAUAUUGUAUGUUAGGUGUGAGAUUCGUUAAACCUUGUUUGCUAUAAUACAUCUAAUUAAGUGCACAAUACCCCCACA